rnacentral:sRNA from 1 species
CCCGGGGAUAGGGCGGCCGCCUGACAAGCCGGAACUGAUCCGGCCGGCUUCCCUGGGAUCUUCCUUCCGGA